GUCGCUACUACCGAUUGAAUGGCUUAGUGAGACCUCCGGAUUGGCAGCCCGUCGCCGGCAACGGCAAUGAGCCGCUGAGAAGUUGGUCAAACUUGGUCAUUUAGAGGAAGUAAAAGUCGUAACAAGGUAACCGUAGGUGAACCUGCGGUUGGAUCAUUA
rnacentral:rRNA from 1 species